rnacentral:tRNA from 1 species
GCAUCGGUGGUUCUGUGGUAGAAUGCUCGCCUGCCACGCGGGCGGCCUGGGUUCGAUUCCCGGCCGAUGCA